CAAGUCCAUAACCCUUUGAAAAGUGGCUGGAGCAUUCUUAAGGCCAAAGGGCAUCCUAUUAAAUUCAUAGUGACCGUGGGGAGUGGAGAAAGCCGUUUUAGAUUUCAAUGCAGGGUCUGCAGUGAUAUAUGGAAGAGGAUAUGCAUCGGCCACAGUUUUCUCGUUCAAUUUUCGAUAAUCGAUAACCAUCCUCCAGCGUGGUUUACCAGAAGACCCAGGUUUUUUUCGGAACUACCCAAACAGGUGAAUUAUAAAGGGACACCGAGGGUUGAAUAAUUUUGUCCUUAAGCAAGGAAUCUACUUGCGUUUCUAUUUCAUUUUUAUGGACUGGGAGAUGAAAUUGAUACGAAAAUUCGUUAACGAUUUCUAGAAUGCUGGCCUUUUCCCUCUCCUGAAGAUGACUUAAAUCCAAAUAUUUUCGUAAUUCACUAAAUCUCCGAGCCUGAUCUGCCGAUUUAUUUACACUUGGAUUCCCUGUUCGAGACGAACGAGAUGCAGGAGGUAUCAAUUCGAAUUCCUCUAAUUCAAUCUGUGGUAUC